UUCGCCCUUAGAGUUUGAUCCUGGCUCAGGACGAACGCUGGCGGCGUGCUUAACACAUGCAAGUCGAACGAGAAUCACUGAAAGGAGUUUUCGGACAACGGAAGGUGAGGACAGUGGCGGACGGGUGAGUAACGCGUGAGGAACCUGCCUUUCAGAGGGGGACAACAGCUGGAAACGACUGCUAAUACCGCAUGACACAUAGAGAUCGCAUGGUUUUUAUGUCAAAGAUUUAUCGCUGAAAGAUGGCCUCGCGUCUGAUUAGCUAGUUGGUGAGGUAACGGCCCACCAAGGCGACGAUCAGUAGCCGGACUGAGAGGUUGACCGGCCACAUUGGGACUGAGAUACGGCCCAGACUCCUACGGGAGGCAGCAGUGGGGAAUAUUGGGCAAUGGGCGCAAGCCUGACCCAGCAACGCCGCGUGAAGGAAGAAGGCUUUCGGGUUGUAAACUUCUUUUGUCGGGGACGAGUAGAAGACGGUACCUGGCGAAUAAGCCACGGCUAACUACGUGCCAGCAGCCGCGGUAAUACGUAGGUGGCAAGCGUUGUCCGGAUUUACUGGGUGUAAAGGGCGUGUAGCCGGGAAGGCAAGUCAGAUGUGAAAUCCACGGGCUUAACUCGUGAACUGCAUUUGAAACUACUUUUCUUGAGUAUCGGAGAGGCAAUCGGAAUUCCUAGUGUAGCGGUGAAAUGCGUAGAUAUUAGGAGGAACACCAGUGGCGAAGGCGGAUUGCUGGACGACAACUGACGGUGAGGCGCGAAAGCGUGGGGAGCAAACAGGAUUAGAUACCCUGGUAGUCCACGCUGUAAACGAUGAAUACUAGGUGUGCGGGGACUGACCCCCUGCGUGCCGCAGUUAACACAAUAAGUAUUCCACCUGGGGAGUACGAUCGCAAGGUUGAAACUCAAAGGAAUUGACGGGGGCCCGCACAAGCGGUGGAUUAUGUGGUUUAAUUCGACGCAACGCGAAGAACCUUACCAGGGCUUGACAUCCUACUAACGAAGCAGAGAUACAUCAGGUGCCCUUCGGGGAAAGUAGAGACAGGUGGUGCAUGGUUGUCGUCAGCUCGUGUCGUGAGAUGUUGGGUUAAGUCCCGCAACGAGCGCAACCCUUAUUGCCAGUUACUACGUUAAGAGGACUCUGGCGAGACUGCCGUUGACAAAACGGAGGAAGGUGGGGAUGACGUCAAAUCAUCAUGCCCUUUAUGACCUGGGCUACACACGUACUACAAUGGCGUUAAACAAAGAGAAGCAAGACCGCGAGGUGGAGCAAAACUCAAAAACAACGUCUCAGUUCAGAUUGCAGGCUGCAACUCGCCUGCAUGAAGUCGGAAUUGCUAGUAAUCGUGGAUCAGCAUGCCACGGUGAAUACGUUCCCGGGCCUUGCACACACCGCCCGUCA
rnacentral:rRNA from 1 species